AUCACCGAAGUCAAGCAUCAUUGGGCGCGGUCAGUACUUGGGUGGGUGACCACCUGGGAACACCGCGUGCCGUU